AUAGUGCGGAAAAUACGGUAUAUUACCAAUGCACUCCAUCUUAGUUUUCAUUUAUAAACCAGAUGCUGGUAUCAUGCUCACUUGCCAAUUCAAGUGGCCCUCACAGCUGUAAAUAGCUGCUCCAAUGGCCCCCGCCGUGUGGAGGGGUUUAUUAAAAAGCAAGAAAGAAAUAACAGAUCCAGGUGCGGCUGUCAUGCUCUCCUACUGUUUAUUUAUUUUUCAGACACAUUUCCCACAAGAAUCCCGUCACUUUACGCUCACACUCAAUAACUGCUUUGCGAUAUGUGGAUGAGAGACAUGCUUCUCCAGCAGGCAGAAAGCUAUGCUAAGCUAAGUUUGCUUCAACUUGCACCAUGACGGGUUUCAGGGUCAUUUCCAAAAUUAAUGCGCGACAUUGUGUCAUCUACAAACACCAUAGAGUGCUUUCUACCAAGUAGUGGUAGGUUGUCGUACAUUUGCUAAUGAGUCAAAUAAGCCCAAACAAAUUUUACACACAGUACUACAAUGUGACUUGUCGUCAUGUACAUCCUGCUUGUAUUCCUCCACGGCAGCCGUAUCCCAUUUUACUAAGUGUGUUUCUGCAACAAAUGCCCGUGUAGCACAGUGGCUAAACAUUGUUCCGGAUGGCAGGAAAAAAGGUGCAAGUCUAAUUCAAAGGUACAAAUUUUUUUGAUGGCAGUAAUUGCAUCAAAAGGUUGAGCAACAAAAUAUUAAGUGAAGGGCACCAUCAUUUUUGUCCCAUUUUUUUCUUCUUUUUUAUAUUCUGUUGAACCACAAUUCAAAACCACUGUCUCAUUUUCAUUGGGUAAUUUGCAGUAAAUUUUUGUUGAUUACUUAUGUGAGUACAGUAAUCCCUUGUUUAUCGCGGUUAAUGGGGACCAAAACCACCCGCGAUAAACGAAAAUCCGGAAAGUAGUGUCCAAUUAACAUAAACAGGUAACAAUUUUUUUUUUAAGUCCGCAAACGGUCCGUGAGAAGCUGCAAAACAACAGCGAGUCACAUAGAGCAACAUAUACAGUACUGUACUCCAUGUGUGUGUAAAAACAAUAUAUAUAUCUACCGUAUUUUCACGACCAUUCGGCGCACCGUAAGGUUGGGCGCAGUCUCAUUAAUGGGUGCUAUUUCUGUAUUUUACACAUAGACAAAAUGCACUGUAUUAUUGGCCGCAGUUUUAAAGUGGUAAAACAUACGGCUUUGUGCAAGUGGGCGCAGUCUCAUUAAUGGGUGCUAUUUCUGUAUUUUACACAUAGACAAAAUGCACUGUAUUAUUGGCCGCAGUUUUAAAGUGGUAAAACAUACGGCAUUGUGCAAGUGCCGGUAAUCCAUCAAAAACGCCGCUUUCCCUCUCGUUGUCAGAGUCACUCUCAUUGCCAUGUGGCUCCACAGAAAUUAUACCGGCUUUGCCAAAAACUCGAACAACAGUGCAAGCAGACACGUUCGUCCAAGCAGCCACAAUCCAUUCGCAAAUUGUGGCGUAACUCGCCCAGCGGUGCCUCUCACUCUUUGUAAAGUUGUAAACCAAAACCGAUGUUGUUUUGCAACAAUGCACAUAGCCACACUCUAUACAGGUGUUGGUACCUGCUUGGGGCGUCCCUUUAGCGUCCACUUACACGCCCACCCUUCACUCAUUGGCGGACUUCUCCCCCGCAUGCCUGUCCUCUUUCACGUCUGUCUCUCUCUCUCUCUCUCUCUCUCUCUCUCUCUCUCUCUCUCUCUCUCUCCCUCUCCAUAAAUGAAUAUAUACACGCCCACUCUUCACUGAUUGGCCGAUUUCUUUGCCACAUGCCUGUCCACAGUCACUUCCGCCUUUUCUCUAUAUAAACAGCGUGUCGGCUGUCAGUCAGGUUUUGGAACUCAGCGCAUACAUAAGACGCUCCGCAUCAUAAGGCGUCCUCUCCAUUUUGGAGGAAAUUUAAGACUUUUAAUGGUGCCUUAUAGUCGUGAAAAUACGGUAUAUAUUUUUUUAUAUGUUCGAAAAAAUCUGCGAUGCACUCAACCAGCGAAGUAGCGAGGGAUCACUGUAUUUAGUGAUUUCACUUACCAUUGUGGGUGUUUUUUUUUAUCAACAGACUGCCCUGACAAAUUUGUCCAGGUGUGUAGGUCACAGUUUGAUUCUUAUGAUGGGUAUUUCAGCUCAGGCCAAAAGUUACUAUAACUGCGUUUUGUUUAAUUUAUGAGGUUUAUCAUACAUUAGUUAAACCAGGGGUAGGCAAUCCAAAAUGUUGAAAGAGCCAUAUAGGACC